rnacentral:rRNA from 1 species
UACGUAGGGGGCAAGCGUUGUCCGGAUUUACUGGGCGUAAAGAGCGUGUAGGCGGCCAAGCAGGUCCGUUGUGAAAACUGGAGGCUUAACCUCCAGACGUCGACGGAAACCGCGCGGCUAGAGUCCGGAAGAGGAGAGUGGAAUUCCUGGUGUAGCGGCGAAAUGCGCAGAUAUCAGGAAGAACACCAAUGGCGAAGGCAGCUCUCUGGGACGGUACUGACGCUGAGACGCGAAAGCGUGGGGAGCGAACAGG